GCAGCACCUGGACCGGAAGUUGAAGCCGAGAGUGCGGGGAGCACCAAGAAUGCUGGGAAUCAUGGUUCUGGUGGCAGACGGAUCUCUUAGCCUCG